rnacentral:lncRNA from 1 species
UGAAGUUAAUGCUAUGAAUAAUUAUUGAUAUUUUAUUAUUUAUUAUCUCCAAAGCUGCUCUCCUUUUUCAUUUUCAUUUCUCUGUCCCAGCUUCUUUUUUAUCCCUUCCUUGGAUCAACCACGGUCUGGAAGCCUGUGCCAGGUUUCUCCUCAAUCUAAUGCGCCUUAGUUCCACCCACCCAAAGGUGCAAGUACUGCGCAGAGGAAGGGGGCGGACUCUGCUGGCUAUGUCUCUUCUCGGCCACCGUAACGCGAGCGCCUCAGGGCCAGAGGGAGCCCCCCCACCCCCGUUGCCCGGACAACCGACUCCACCGCCGCCGGUGUCACCCUGCGGGCGGCUCCCUGGCCCCGGAGUGGCGCUGCUGGCCUGAGGCGGAGGAGGCCCAGAACCAGUUCGGAGGGUGCGAAGCGCUGGUCUCUGAGUGGGUUCAAGGCUCUGCCCAGAGGGACGAUCCCCGCCCCUUGCUGAUCUGGGUGCAGCAGAACUCAGGAGGUCCGCCUGUUUGGCGGAGGGGUUUGGGGUCAGCAGAGCGGCAUCUCAACAUCUUCUGUGGGAGGACCCAGAGUUCCACCCACACAGCCUCCUUCAAGAAGAGAAGGCCUCUCCUCAGCUAA